rnacentral:rRNA from 1 species
GGGAUGCUUAGUACGGCGAGUGAGCGGCAAAGCUCAAAUUAAAUCUGGUACCUUCGGUGCCCGAGUUGUAAUUUGGAGAGGGCAACUUUGGGGCCGUUCCUUGUCUAUGUUCCUUGGAACAGGACGUCAUAGAGGGUGAGAAUCCCGUGUGGCGAGGAGUGCGGUUCUUUGUAAAGUGCCUUCGAAGAGUCGAGUUGUUUGGGAAUGCAGCUCUAAGUGGGUGGUAAAUUCCAUCUAAAGCUAAAUAUUGGCGAGAGACCGAUAGCGAACAAGUACAGUGAUGGAAAGAUGAAAAGAACUUUGAAAAGAGAGUGAAAAAGUACGUGAAAUUGUUGAAAGGGAAGGGCAUUUGAUCAGACAUGGUGUUUUGUGCCCUCUGCUCCUUGUGGGUAGGGGAAUCUCGCAUUUCACUGGGCCAGCAUCAGUUUUGGUGGCAGGAUAAAUCCAUAGGAAUGUAGCUUGCCUCGGUAAGUAUUAUAGCCUGUGGGAAUACUGCCAGCUGGGACUGAGGACUGCGACGUAAGUCAAGGAUGCUGGCAUAAUGGUUAUAUGCCGCCCGUCUUGAAA